GCCAUAAUUUCUCCUUCCCCAACCUCCUCUCUAUUCUCUCGCCACCCCUCCCAUCGAUCUCCACCGUCGCCUUCCUUUCCAUCAUCAUCGGCGUCAACCUUCCCCUCCGAUCCCCCUCAGGUGCUUUCCUUCCCAUAUAUCACAGAAAAGAGAGAGAAAUGAUAAGAAAAAAGGAGAAGAAAUGGUUCCUCCCUGCUUUACUCACCGUGACCUCCCGUCGGUCUCCAC
rnacentral:lncRNA from 1 species